rnacentral:rRNA from 1 species
UACGAAGGGGGCUAGCGUUGUUCGGAAUCACUGGGCGUAAAGGGCGCGUAGGCGGCCGAUCAAGUCGGGGGUGAAAGCCUGUGGCUCAACCACAGAAUUGCCUUCGAUACUGUUUGGCUUGAGACCGGAAGAGGUUAGUGGAACUGCGAGUGUAGAGGUGAAAUUCGUAGAUAUUCGCAAAGAACACCAGUGGCGGAAGGCGGCUGACUGGUCCCGGGUUUCU